rnacentral:rRNA from 1 species
ACUCCUACGGGAGGCAGCAGUAGGGAAUCUUCCACAAUGGGCGCAAGCCUGAUGGAGCAACACCGCGUGAGUGAAGAAGGGUUUCGGCUCGUAAAGCUCUGUUGUUAAAGAAGAACACGUAUGAGAGUAACUGUUCAUACGUUGACGGUAUUUAACCAGAAAGUCACGGCUAACUACGUGCCAGCAGCCGCGGUAAUACGUAGGUGGCAAGCGUUAUCCGGAUUUAUUGGGCGUAAAGAGAGUGCAGGCGGUUUUCUAAGUCUGAUGUGAAAGCCUUCGGCUUAACCGGAGAAGUGCAUCGGAAACCGGAUAACUUGAGUGCAGAAGAGGGUAGUGGAACUCCAUGUGUAGCGGUGGAAUGCGUAGAUAUAUGGAAGAACACCAGUGGCGAAGGCGGCUACCUGGUCUGCAACUGACGCUGAGACUCGAAAGCAUGGGUAGCGAACAGGAUUAGAUACCCUGGUAGGAUAGCG